rnacentral:rRNA from 1 species
UCCAGACUCCUACGGGAGGCAGCAGUGGGGAAUAUUGCACAAUGGGGGAAACCCUGAUGCAGCAACGCCGCGUGGGUGAAGGAGCGUUUCGGCGCGUAAAGCCCUGUCAGCGGGGAAGAAGAAAGACGGUACCCGACCAAGAAGCCACGGCUAACUACGUGCCAGCAGCCGCGGUAAUACGUAGGUGGCAAGCGUUGUCCGGAAUUACUGGGUGUAAAGGGAGCGCAGGCGGGAAGCCAAGUCAGCUGUGAAAACUACGGGCUUAACUUGUAGACUGCAGUUGAAACUGGUUUUCUUGAGUGAAGUAGAGGUUGGCGGAAUUCCGAGUGUAGCGGUGAAAUGCGUAGAUAUUCGGAGGAACACCGGUGGCGAAGGCGGCCAACUGGGCUUUAACUGACGCUGAGGCUCGAAAGUGUGGGGAGCAAACAGGAUUAGAUACCCCGGUAC